CUACGGGGGGCUGCAGUCGAGAAAAUUUUGCAAUGCACGAAAGUGUGACAGAGCAAGCCAGAGUGCUUUUCCGUAUUGGAAAAGCUUUUGUGAAAUGUAAAAAAUUUUACGAAUAAGGACUGGGCAAGACUAGUGCCAGCCGCCGCGGUAAUACUAGCGGUCCAAGUCGCAAUCAUUUUUAUUGGGUCUAAAACAUCCGUAGCUUGUUAUGUAAGUCUCUUGUGAAAUCCUAUAUCUCAAGUAUAGAACUGUGAGAGAUACUGCAUAGCUAGAGACCGGGAGAGGCAAGGAGUACGGUUAGGGUAGCGGUUAAAUGUGUUGAUCCUAAUUGGACUAACAAUAGCGAAGGCAUCUUGCUAGAACGGAUCUGACAGUGAGGGAUGAAGGCUAGGGGCGCAAAACGGAUUAGAUACCCGCGUAGUC
rnacentral:rRNA from 1 species